CUGACAUUCUGGGAACGUGCUUCUCCAGAGAGGCCGACCUGUCUCUGGGUUGGCAGGAGGCUGCCUGAUGCCCCAGCUGGGCUCCUUCCCCAACUGCUCUCUGCUUCUCAUCUGGCAUCCUGCUGGGAACUGAUCCGUUAGGACUGAUCCAUGGCUCAGACUUCCUCCGGAAGGGGGUAGAGGUAGUUCAAAAGCGUGUCUGCACAAGAAGCACACAGAGAGAGCCGGGAGAGGGACUGCACAUGAGGCAGAUUAAUUGAACAAUCGAGAAGCCGAUAGUCAAUAAAGAUUGCUCUGUUUGUACAGGUUGCAGAGGACUGAUUCUCUCUGCUCUUGGGUCCGGUGACUGUCCCUUGUGGUGGACCACUUUCUUGCCCUCUCGUGGAUUCCAUCCUCUGUACCUUUUCCCUUUGCUGACUUGAAUCUGUAUCCUUCUGUUGUUAUAAACUGUAACAAACAGCUUUUC